UUGCUUGCUGAAACGAUCACUUUUGGCUGGUGUUGGAUUCCCAGUCUCCAUGUUAUAGGGGCAGGAGAAAUAAAGGGUUGUUUUCCUUGUUGUGUGAAUCGAGGGCAGCACAACUGUGCUUGGCAGACCCCGAUUGAGGGACUCACGCUCAAUUCAAUAGCACAUGCUAGGCAGGGGACAGGGGUUCCAAAGCCAAGUGGGCUGGGGUCUGGGUCCCAAUACUAAACUUCAGGGGUUGGAUCAAUGUUAGGACAGGGUGGCAGUGAAGGGAUGAGUGAGUCCCUAGACAACACAAUGAGUACAGUGCCUUCUUAUUUUCCCCCUUUUCCAUCCAGGAUGGCAGAUGAACUGUACAGAGGCACCUCUGGGCUUGCACUGACUAAGGACAACAGCUAAAUGUGUUAUGAGGUUGGGAAAUGCCCCCACCAGCCUUUCAGGUGCGACAAGGGAGGAGCCAGACUCACUGCUGUCCCAUUGAGGGUAUCCACACUCCCAAGAACUAUCCCAGGAACCGUGUACAAUGCAGGCUUCUCCGAGAUAGCACAGAGACAAUGGACACUGCUUGACUCAUAUCAUAGCAAAGGAGCUUCCUAGCAAGUUGGAACAAACUAUGAAAGAGGGGAAGAGACAUCAUGACUUUGCCUCUCUCCUCCAAAACUCAGCAGCUGGAAACACGCCUGGAGGACAAAGACUGAACUGAACUGGUUCAGAAAUCAGAAGAGAAUAAUAACAAUAAUACUUUCAAACCAAAGUCCCCAAACAGACUAGUAUUGAUUUUUCAGCAGAAAAUUUUCAGUUUGGGGAAUUUUGUUUUCCCAGCCAGACUUUGCCAAGGGAAGCAGGGAGAAAAUGUUGGAGUUGCCUCCCUCAGAACAGCUUGGCCUAGACACUAGCUCUGCUUCACUGCUCUGGCCUUGCUCACGUUGAGGGUAUUUUAACAAUUUGGGCAGGUCCCAGGGUGUUUGGGGGAGAUGAGGAGGAUGUUACCUUUAGAGACAAAAACUAAGAAAUACAGGACUAGAGAAUUUUUUU